AGGAGUUUAGGAUAAUUAAACCAAAAGCCUUCAAAGCUUUCAAUAGAAGUGAAACCCAUCUAACUCCUG
rnacentral:tRNA from 1 species